UUAUAUAAACCUUUCCAUUUUCUCUCUAAUGUCAACAACGAAGAGAAUGGCGAUUCCCUAAAGCCUCCCUCAAGUUUUCAGGAAUUCAUUGCAACAGUUACCACAUACAAAAACCCUUUUGCUUUUUUUCCUCAACAAUUUCAUUUCACUUCUCUCUCUUCAUCUCCUUCUCCAUCUUCAAGGAAGCUUUAAUCAGAGCCGUUUGAUUCAGAGAUUCCUGAUUGAUAUCAUCAUUAGCUUAACUUUGUCUUGGUAGAAGAGCUGCUCGACUUUCACUUCAGAGUGGUGGUGGUGUUGGCGGUGGUGGUGGUUGAGGCGGAGGCAGAAGGAGUUACGGUGGAACAUGAAGAAAAAGCCUGAAGAAAACGAGGAAAUGAGUGACUUUACCUCAUGUGAAAACUGGGUUUGUCAUAAAAGAAAAUCAAGAUUUCAAGUUCAAAAGUCUCUGCAACAAGCUCUCUUAAUACUAUACCUCUGGUGAUGCUCUCUAAUGGCGGUGGCGGUGGUGGUGGCGGCGAUGGUGAUAUUGGCUGGACGGCUCAAUCUCUUCUUGUUAUGAUAUAAUUUUUUUUCCUUUUUUUUCUUUUUUUUGUCUUUUUACUUUGUUCAUAAAGGAAUGAAUGGUUAAUAUUGCACAUGUUCAUCUUGCUUUCUCCUUUCCUUUCUUCAGUGACAUGACAUGACUGUCUUUAUACAUCUUUUUGUUUUUCU